GAGCGCGCCCCAAGUCUAUGAUUCCAGCUUGGGCUGCGAAUUUCCACCCAAGACUGGGAGGGGGGAAGGGGCGGGGGACGGGGUUUCCCGAUCUCUCCUCCGAGCUCUAGGCUCGCCUUUCCUCAGCUUCUCGGCUGAGUCUCCGGCCCGCCUCUGGGGAGGCGGGCAGGUAGUCCCGAUGCGGAGCCCCAGGCCUCUCCGCCAGGCGCCUGGAGGGGGCUUUCCAGGAAAAGCCCUGCCUCUGGGCUGCUCCCGGGGUUUUCCUGUGACACCGGCGGGGGAUAAAGCCCACGCCGGGUUUCCCUUGCGGAGCCUCGCAGCAGCCGGGCAAGGAGGGCGUGGGGAAAACUCCGGGAGGCACCAGGCGCGCGGGUGAGACCCAGCCCUUCGAGAUGAUUAAACUGAGGCUAAUGAGGCUCACUAACUUACGGAAGCUCCAAAAGGCGGAGGAAGAGCCUGGGUCUGCAGGCAGGGCCCCAUUUGGAGUCUCCAAACCCAGCAGAUUCCUACCACGAGCUCCUGUACCUGCACUCACCUGAAGGAAGUUGAGUCUCCAUAGAUCUGCUGCUUCUUG